rnacentral:sRNA from 1 species
AAAUGAGAGGUAAAAUAAGUACAUUUGAAAGGGAAAGCACUGUAUUGAGAACAGAUAUUAUAUACAAAUGAGGCAGGGGAAUAAAAGUAAAUCCUGGGGAGGCAGGCAGUAAAUUAUUUCUUUGACAGCAAAAUGUUGACUUUAAAUUUUGGGCCCCUGGGCACAACUGUAGGGAACCAGUUAAUUAUUUUGGAGUACUGUACUAUUUCAUGACUAUUCUGUGUUCUGGGUGUUAAUGGGCCAGGUGCUAUGGUGUACACUGAAGACUGGGAGGCCCACAUUUAGGGAAGUGAAAACUUAGAGAUGUGGAAUUAGCACACAAGAAAGAUAUCAACACAUUCAGAAAGCUGUAUUCAUGAUUUACAGUGGAGCAUAUUACUGCUGUUGCAAGAAACAAUUCUUCCUCUUUCAUUUUCCUGCAGUUCCAAAUGACCUUCCACCUGUUUAUUGCUGCAUUUGUGGGGGCUGCAGCUACACUGGUUUCCCUGCUCACCUUCAUGAUUGCUGCCACUUACAACUUUGCCGUCCUUAAACUCAUGGGCCG